rnacentral:rRNA from 1 species
AGCUCCAAUAGCGUAUAUUAAUGUUGCUGCAGUUAAAACGCUCGUAGUUGUUGUCCAACUGUACGACGUCCUUCGUGUGAAGUUCGUUCUAUCAGUUUAGUGGAAUUUGCGUUCCGCCAUUACCUUGAGGAAAGAUUAGUGUUCCAAGCAGUUCUCUUUUGACCUCCCCAGCAUGGUAUAACACCGUUUCGAAGAAGAUCAUUGCUAAGUCUUCAUCAUACUAAAUAGAAAUUCAAGGGGGUAUACGUAUUUUAAUGUCAGAGGUGAAAUUCCUGGAUUAUUAAAAGACGAACAAUUGCGAAAGCAUUAACCAAGCGACUUUUCU